GGGCGCCUCCGCGCUCCCGCCUCCUCCUGGCAACCUGGUGCGCGGCUCCGGACCUGGCGACCCACGACCGGCUGGUCACUUGCUGCCACCUCGCAAAGGCGCAUCUCUAGUUCAGUGGUGAGCUGCGGCCCGGUCGCUGCAACUCGCUCCAGGCCUCCGGAUUCGUGGCCUCGGUGUCCCUCGCGGAGCCCUCGGUGUGUCGCUUGCAGGCUCUUUUUUUGAAGAAAGCAGGGAGGGAAUGGCCUUGUGAGAGACUCCAGGAGCAAAGAGCGACCCUCACAAGGCCCAAGUCCUCCCAGAGCUCAGGGAAGCUGUCGCUUCUGACAGAAGAAGGGAGACAAAGCUCCCUCCUGUGUGUCCCUGGUGGUCUAGUGGCUAGGAUUCGGCGCUUUCACCGCCGCGGCCCGGGUUCGAUUCCCGGCCAGGGAAUUGUUUUACACUGGCCGCCCUCCCGCAGGAAUCUUCCUUCACUACGCUGUCAGCCGGCCUGCUCCAAGGGCCAGAAGCAGAACAGUCUCCGCAGCGGGGUUAAAGCCGGGCGAAGGAGGGCAAGCGCUGGUGGACCACCUCUCACGACACACCGUUCCUGUUUAUCUCCGUGUCCGUCAUCCGCCGAAGCAGCUUUAGAGAGCGACUGAGCGUCUCGCUCCGGUGUACACAGCCCGGCAGAGAUGCCAGCCCCCGUGGAGCUGCACCCAAUAAGCCCACCUUCUUUCCCGUCGCCACCCCGGAGACGCCCAUCGGGCUGAGCUGCGAAUAACUAAGAGAGAGGCCAAGCCAAGUCGUGGCGUUUGUGGCAACCCCGGACACGGGCACCAGCCAGUCAGCGGAGCCUCCUCACCUCCGUUGCCAGCGAAGGCGCUCGUUAGGCCUUGGGAAGAGGCGACCGGAGGCGAUGCCCGCGAAUUUGUUAGGGGGGUAAGCGGCGGGUGAGGUCCUCGAGGGCGGUCCCGUUUGCUGAUUGAGCGGUAGAGGGAGGCGAUGUUCGCUGACCCAACAAGGACAGCAGGUGGAGUAGGCACAGAUGGAAAACUGCUGCCGGUGCCCUAAGCAGAAGGCAGGUGGAAAAAUCAGCACUAGGACGUCGAAGCGAUGGUACCACAGUCAAAUCCCACGACGUCUACACUCUACCAAGCACUUGCGCACGCUCCCCCUUUUCCAUUCAGUACUCCCAAGAGGGGUUCGGAAGAACCCCGAGUCCACUAGUUGCUGAUCCCUGUGAUUUCCUCCAUGUGGGAAACGGUGUUUGUGCUAGAAGAGGCUGCGCUCUUUACCUGACAUAACGGGGUUCAAGACUGACAACGCCUCACGCCCACCCGAAAACGUUUACAUGGCUUCCUUGUCUCUUUUUUUUUCUGUCCUAAAGUCGCCUCAUCUUCACAUCCCCUCUUUUUUUUCUUCCACACUCGAGAGUGUCUCUCUCUCUCAGUAAAAGCUCCACCAAAUAUUUGAAAUAUCUCAACCAGAAA
ensembl:lncRNA novel transcript